UUUUGGUAUCACCUCAGCUCGCUUGGAACCUCGACUGAGGUGAUACUAAAUAAAAGUACCUGUUGCCAGGUACCAGGGACUUUUUUCAUAAUGGAAAUCCAAAAAAGGCGAGUAGAGUCGAGGCGAGUUAAGCAGGUACCAUGUGAUGG